rnacentral:rRNA from 1 species
ACGGCUCAGUAACACGUGGAUAACCUACCCUCAGGACGGGGAUAAACCCGGGAAACUGGGUAUAAUACCCGAUAGAUCUCGGAGGCUGGAAUGCAUCGAGAUCGAAAGCUCCGGUGCCCGAGGAUGGAUCUGCGGCCUAUCAGGUAGUAGUGGGUGUAGCGUACCUACUAGCCUACGACGGGUACGGGUUGUGAGAGCAAGAGCCCGGAGAUGGAUUCUGAGACACGAAUCCAGGCCCUACGGGGUGCAGCAGGCGCGAAAACUUUACAAUGCUGGCAACAGCGAUAAGGGGACCUCGAGUGCCAGGUUACAAAUCUGGCUGUCGAGAUGCCUAAAAAGCAUUUCAUAGCAAGGGCCGGGCAAGACCGGUGCCAGCCGCCGCGGUAACACCGGCGGCUCGAGUGGUAACCGUUAUUAUUGGGUCUAAAGGGUCUGUAGCCGGCCGGAUAAGUCUCUUGGGAAAUCUGGCAGCUUAACUGUCAGGCUUUCAGGAGAUACUGUUCGGCUCGAGGCCGGGAGAGGUGAGAGGUACUUCAGGGGUAGGGGUGAAAUCUUGUAAUCCUUGAAGGACCACCAGUGGCGAAGGCGUCUCACCAGAACGGACCUGACGGCAAGGGACGAAAGCUAGGGGCACGAACCGGAUUAGAUACCCGGGUAGUCCUAGCCGUAAACGAUACUCGCUAGGUGUCGGCCACGGUGCGACCGUUGUCGGUGCCGUAGGGAAGCCGUGAAGCGAGCCACCUGGGAAGUACGGCCGCAAGGCUGAAACUUAAAGGAAUUGGCGGGGGAGCACCACAACGGGUGGAGCUUGCGGUUUAAUUGGAUUCAACGCCGGG